GGGGAGAAGACAGGCCGAGUUCUCACCGAGAGAAAAGCCGCAGGCCUGGCGCCGGCUCCUGCAGGUUCUGAGAACCCUCAGGGAGACUCCGGGGGCGUCACACGGCUCCGGCUACGGGGCCACCCCCACACGCAUGGGGCUGGCGGGUGGCGCCCGGUGCCCACUGGCCAGAGCCCACUCCACGCGGCGGGGGAGAGCGGGGCAGGUUCCCGGGCAGGGACGCGGCCUGCCAGCGCACCCAGCGCUCAAAACCAGCCCAUCAGUUCUGGAGAAAGGGCCAGAGCCUCCCUCGCCCCCACCCACCCCGAGUUCCGUCAACCCCAGGAGAGGGAGGUGUCUUCACGGAGCUGGAAUGACUCCUCUGAGAUUCCUAUAGCAAGAAAAACCCCCGUGAGCCCCUUCUAUCGACGAGAGAGAGAAGCAGGAAGACAGCUGGGCCAGGACAUACCUGUUCGGGCCUGGAAGGCCACUGUCCCCAGCAGGGCACACUUGGGCCCCAGGGAUGGCAGAUGAUCAGGGACAAAACUGCCCAGUGAUUCCUACUCCGCCAGAGAUCAGCAAGCAGGCUACAUGGCUCAUCCACAAGUUUUCCAAACUGUCGCACAUCUCCAAAAAUUUUUCCAACGUGGUUCUUGAGUAAAAACCCGCACGUAAGUGGACCCGCACGGUUCAAGCCCGUGUUGUUCAAGGGUCAGCCGUACUAGGAUUCCGCAAGGUGUUACCGAUGGAGCAGUCUAGAUAAAGUAUACAAGAGAACGUCUCUGUUAUUCCUUACGGUCGCGUCCAUCUACAAUUAUCUCAAAAAAAAAGAUGAUUAAAAAUAUACAAGGUGUGGAGUGCCCGGUGGCUCAGUCGAUCAAGCGUCUGACUCGUGGUUUCGGCUCAGGUCAUGAUCACGGCUCGAGGGAUCGAGCCGCACGUCGGGCUCCGCGCUGACAGUGCAGAGCCCGCUUGGGAUUCUCUCUCUCCCUCUCUACAUAAAUAAACAUUAAAACAAUUAUUUUAAAUAAAAACAAAAAGAGCAAGCUGCCGCGUGACACCAGGAUGGCUACACUUUUUUAAAAGAGGGGCAGGACAAAGCGCUGGGGACGCGGUGAGAGAUCCGGGCCUCCGUGCACCGCUGGCGGGAAGGUGAAGGGCUGUGGCCGCUGCGGGACAGUUAGGUGGUUUCUCACAAGGUUAAAUAAAGAAUUAGCCUAUGACCCGGCAAGCCCGGUCCUGGGCGUCCACUCAAGAUCACUGAAAACGUACGUCCAACACGAACACUUGCACACGAGUGUUCACACAGCAUGAUGCGCCGCAGCCGGCGCGGAGACAUCCCACACGCCCUCCCCCCAGAGGAGCGGACCGGCAGGUGCACGGCCUGGACCCGCGCUCCGCCUCAGAAGGAGCGAAGCCUGGACGCGCACGAUGCUCAGGGAGAAGUCCACACAGAGGGCCCCAUGCCUGCUGUGUGACUCUGUUUCAAUGAAAUGCCCAGAAGAGGCGAAUCCAUAGCCAGGAAGCGGAGUGGUUGCUGGGUGUGGGGGGAGGGGAGUGAGGGCGCCGGAGUUUCUUUCUGCGGUGACGAGAAUACUCUAGAAGGUGAUAAUGGCGACGGUCGCAUAUACUAAAAACCACCGAACCGUACACUUACAAAAGGUGCGAUUUCUGUUACAUGAAUUAUAUCUCAAUAAAACUAUUAAGAAAUUCUAAAAAAAAAA